rnacentral:lncRNA from 1 species
UGAACUCCUGACCUCAGGUGAUCCAUCUGCCUUGGCUUCCGAAAGUGCUGGGGUUAACGGGUGUGAGCCACUGCACCCGGCCUCAUCAUGUGUGUCUUUCUUUUCCCUCAUAGCAUUUGCUGCUCUGUAAUUACACUCUUCAUUAAUGUGUUCAUGUCUUUCUUCCCUGCCUCUCCUCCUAGGGCAAAAGCUUGCUGACCACAAAGAACUUGUCUGUGCUGAUUACUGCUAGAUCUUGGAUGUCAAACACAGUGACCACAUUAUGGAUGCAGUGGAAAAUUGUUAAAUGAAUGAACAAAGUAUAGGUCUGCCAGUUUCCUUGGGUAAAAUUAAGGUGAUUUUCUUCUACAACAUGAUUGAGCUAGCAUACUCUCCAGGAGGGAACAGACAGGCAUUCUGAAAGGAUGUUUGCCUUUGAAGAUGGGCCUGUUAGUAUCCUCUAUUUUAUAAAUGAGGAAGUGAAACUCAUGUCAGCUGCCAUUUCUGCCAUCCAUAGGGUAGGUAGGAUCUCUCUGUACCCCUUCUAGAGUUUAAGAACUCAGCCACAGGGGGCUAAUUAAUUGGUUAAUUCAUUUUCUUACAGUGUGCAAAACAGGGAGAACCCAAGUGGAGAGUGGUGAAGAGUAUUGCAGUGCUAAACAAAAGUGACGUUCUGUUUUCAAAGGUGACUUCCAAUGAAGACUACUCUUUAGCCUGAACAUGGAGGGAAAAAGAACAGUGUCAGUACCCACAGUCCUAUUCUUCCUUCUACAUCUGACAUUAUUAUUUUUUUCCUUUCCAUAGGCUUAGGCUUCUAAUCCCGAUGAUUACUUUUCUUACCUAUUUCUGUAGCAUGUUUUCAUGCUGAAAGAGAAGUUGACGUGCUGUUGUCAUCGUAUUAAGGCCUAAGCAGAACAGCAUUAUUGGUAUUAUUAUUUUUCCUCUCACAAACAGGAUUCCACUUAAUCUCUUUUACCGGAUGGCACAGUUAAAGUGCCUUCUUCAUCAGAGCCUGUUUUAAACAAGCAGGCCUUUUAUUUUAUGACACUUAUAUUGAGACACAUUGAGUUAUAUCUGUCUUUUCAUUUGCACCAACACAUUUAUUUGAGGCCUCAUAUUUCCUAGGUAACGUGACUAAGGUAGAUUUAUCGGUGCUAAUUUGCAUACAGAACAACAUUGGCAAAACUAAAAUAUAACAAACACAUACUAACUUUUGACUUGCCACAGCCCACCAAGCAUCUGCCUUCAUUGCCAUGCCUGUAAUGAGAGGGAAAUAUAUUUUCCUCUGAGUUUAAAUCUAAUUCCUUGUUUGUAUUCCACUGUCGUCACUGCUGUUGAGAGCUCGAAGUGAGGUUUAAGAGCCUCUUCAUAUCUAACAGCAGGAGUUUAUAUUAGAGGUGGUAGUUCUGUAUAACAGAAAAUGCGGCUUUUGCUCACCCACCUCGAUUUCAUACCACAUUUGAAGAACCCUGCUACAUUUAAGUAAGGGGCAAGCCCUUUGUUUUGCACAAAAGUUAAUAGAGACUUAAGGCUACACCAUUGUGUUAAAGCCUGGCUUUUAUUUCUUUUUCUCAAUGUUGCUUUUAAGUAGAUUGAUAUUUAUGGCACAAAUAAUAAAUGAAUUUAUUUAAAAAUUCAUUAUUAAAAAAAUUUUUUUAAAUUAUAGAUUAGGUUGAAAUUUCUUGGUCUGCCCUUCCCAAGUUUACUGGCAAUAGCUUGGUGAACAUCAUCUGGACCUUUUCCUAUACAUUUACUUAUGCAUGUAUCUGUCCUUAGAAGAUACACAUUAUUGCUUCAUGUGUGAACAUGUGUGUCUAAUAUAUGUUCUUCUGCUGUAUGUAUUGUUCUGCAGCUUGCUGGUUUCUUUUAGUCUUGUGCCUUGUAGAAUAAUUAGUGCUACCAUGUUCAGACUUAAUAGGCUAGAUUAGUCAAUGCUGUUAUCAUGAGUUAUUCCUAAGAUCUCAGUGGUUAACACGUCAAACGUUUAUUUCUCAGUCAUGCACAUGUGGGUCAGGUGACAUCCCCCAUGUUGUAACUCUUAUAAUCCAGCCUAAUCUCACCUGUGAUUCCACCAUCUCCACAUGUGGCUUCCAGGUCCUUGUAGCCAACAAAUAGGGCUCUGGAGGGUUGCACAUGGUCUCUUAAAAGUUUUGGCAUACUAGCUACAAGAGAACUGAGAAAUGUAGGGGUACACAUGGUUACUUGGUGAUACUGUGUUGCCAUAGAUAAUGUUAAAUAGUUCACACAGUCAGAAUAUAUUAUAGUUUGUUUUGCCAGUCUUCUAUUUGAUGGGCAUUUGGAUCAUUUCCAAUCGUAUCCUUUUGUUAUGUACAAUUCUCCAGAGAAGAUCCUUGCAUGUAUCUCUGGUACAUGUUUUGCUAGGAUAGAUACCCAGGAAGUAGACUUUCCAGGUCAGAGAAUGGGGGUGCUUUAGUUUUCAUAAACACUGUCAAAUUGUUUUGGAAGGUGGUUGCACUAGUGUUCUGUUGUAAGGAUAGUAUCUGAGAAAGUGCAUUUCACCUGACCUUCAACAACAAUAGCAUCAGAUCUCGUGUGUGUGUGUGUGUGUGUGUGUGUGUGUUUGUGUUUGUGUUUGUGUUCAGUGGCAUCUUCAUUCCUUUUGGCAAAAUGGCUUCUUCCGUUUUGUUUGAGUUUCUAUUUUCUUGAUUACUAGUAAGUCCUGGGCUCUUUCUAAUACUGCUUUAUGCUGCCUUCCCAAGUGAGCAGUACUAGUGUGCAAAGUCGAGCUGAAGAAGGCUGGAGCAAGUGCAGAGCCAGUGGGUAGACGAUUUUCCCUUUCAGGGGUGUCGAGCUCAGGGACAUUUCUUUUGAUAUUCUCUGUUGAUUCCCCCACCUCCCCACCCCAGGUGCUAUUUCAGUUGUUUCUACACCUCUAAUUUUAAAACCAUGGGGCGAAGGAUGAUUUCUUGGGCAUGUCAUUUUUUUUUUUCUGUGUAGCUGUCUGGUUUUGUGCUUGGAGUUUUUAUGUCAGUUUUUGCCCACUUAGCCAUUGUCUUGUUAUCUUCUGGUUCUCUUUGUCCCCUGCCUCAUUUUUCAUUCUUUUUCUUCUGCUUCUGCUCCCUUGUUCCCAUAGGCCCUUAAAUCUUUAUGUGUUGCUUUUCUUUUAAGUUGUAUUUUUCCCCUUCCCCUCCAAGCUUAGAAAUGUUUGCUCUAUCAAAGAAACGCAGGAAGGAAGGGAAUGAUGGCAAGGAUAUUGUACAAGUCCAAAGGGAACAAAACCUAGGUGCCCACCUACCCCAGCUAGUUUAAGAAUGUGAUGCUGUUCCUAUCACGGUCACUUUGCCAAAAUCCAUGUGAAGGAAGGAAAAAAGCUGGGAAUUAGUCCAGCUUUCAUCAGGCCUCUGGCUUACUAUAUGAUCCCUAGGCAAGACACUUUCCCUCAUCAGGCCUCCAGGUUCCUGACUGUAAACUGAGGUGAUUGGACCCCAGUGGUCCCUUUAUAUCUUGAAACCCCAGUAUUUGAAACAUGUGACUAACUGGGAAACUUCUCCAGUAUAGGGUCCCAAAGACCUUUUUAAAAGUGGAUCACUGCCAUUCCCCUUCACCUUCAGCCUGUGAAGCACUGUGUCAGUAAGGGCCAGUCAGGAAGACAGGGAUUUUGUGAGGUCAUUUAAUAGAAUUUAACAAAGGGCCGGAAAGAUUGUAAGGCACACAGGCUUGGGAGGCAACACAGAGAUGGAUGGACAACAGCAGGAAUCUUCCGUGAGCCAUAGGAGAGGAAGGAAAUGGUGUUGGCCGAGUCUAGGGCUAGCUGUUACAAGCAGAAGUCACAGCAGGGGAGAUAGCAGGAGCUGGAAUGUGGAAGAGAGGGCUGUCUGGAGAGACCUGGAGCUUCAGAGGAGAUGCUGUUACACCCACAAAGAGGACAACAAAGCCUGGUGUCUUCCCCCUACUGUUCAGUCUCUGAACAGAGUCUCAAAUUUAGGCAGAAGAGCCUGUGGAAUGGUCCUGAGGGCAGGCUGGCAAAUGACUGGCAGAAACAAUCAAAAGGCACUGGGGCAGAUGAUCUUUAUACUCCAUUCCAUUCCUUGCAUUCUAGAAUUCAUGGAUUAUCUGAGAGAUUCUUCAUGUCUCCUGCAGCAAAGAUGUUAUUUUUAGGGUCAUAACAGGUAGCUCUUCCUAGGAGUUGAAAUAAACUUCUACCAUUCUAGCAUCUUAGGACAACACCUAUUCACAUCUCCACCUCCCUCCCUCCCAAAGCCUGGAGUAGUUACAUUUUACCUUACACGAGCUCUGUCAGCAUUUCGUGAAAGUCCUAUUCCUGGUAGACUUUUGACGAAAGGGACACUAUUUUACUUGUCUCUUAUCUCAGUCUCUAUCACCACAGAGCCUCUGGGACCAGAAUACAAACACAGGGAACCAAUAGUGUUACCCAGUUGAUCCAGAAGUUUUACUGUUUCAGAGUAACUUGUGAUCUUGGGCAAGUUCAGCCCGUUUCCUAAUUUGUAACAUGGCUUUAUUGGUCAGUAAAGCCAAUUGGGCAAAAAGGUUGUGCAAUAGUAACAAAUAACCCCCAGAAUUUCAGUGGCUAAGAAUCCACAAAGGUGUAUUUUUUACUACACAUUUACGUAAAGUCACUUGGUAUAUGUCCAUCCUUAUUCUGGUCCCUGGCUGAUAGAUCAGCUACCAUCUUGAAUGUUGCCAUUCCCCAUAUCUAGAGAGGGCAAACUUCGAUGGGGUAGGAGGGAUGGCAAUUAAACGUUGGCCUGAAUGUGUCACACAACAUAUGUACUCACAACUUACUGGCUGGAACUAGUUAAUUGAUAUGAUACUGUGAUAUAAUAAAAAAAAUACAUAUUUGGUCUUUACCCCUGGUUCCUGGCACACAGUUCCUAAGACCCUUGGGAUAUCUGAAGUGAUGAGUGUCUUUUCUACCCUAAUGAGAUGACUAGUGGUUGGAGUCCACUAGGUAGCUUCAGGAUUGUGACUGGUUACUAGAAAGCCCAUAGCAUAAUUAGAGGGUUGGGACUUUCGGUUCCAUCCUCCCAGUCUCUGGGGAAGAGAGCGGGACUAAAAGUUGAGUUAAUCGCCAAUGGCUAAUGAGGUAACAAUCAUGCCUAUGUAAUAAAAUAAUAAAAUCUUAAGAGGACAAGGUUUGGAGAGUGUCCAGAUUGCCAAAUAUGUGGCGGUAUCUGCAAGGUGGUACCCCCAGAGAGGGCAUGGAAGCUCCAUGGGCAUACCUUGUUAUGUACACCUCUUCCAUCUGGCUGUUCACCAGUGUCUUUUGUCAUAUCCUUUAUAAAUAACUGGUAAAUGUCAGCAGUGGUUUUUGUGAGCUCUGUUAGCCAUCUUAUAAAAUUAGUUAAACCCGAGGAGGAGGUCUUGGGAACUCCCAAUUGAUAACUGGUUGGUCAGAAGCACAGGUAAAAUAACCUGGGGCUUGUGCCUGGCAUCUCAAGUGGGUAUAGUCCUGUGGGACUGAGCCUCUAACCUGGGGGAUCUGGUGCUAACUCUAGGUAGUAGAUACGGCAUCGCCUAACUUCAGCUGAAGUAAGGAAGUGCCUAGAAGGAAGAAGACCGAGGAUAUUUCUUGAUUUGCACUAAUGACAGCUACAGAGAGAGAUAAUAAUUCUUGACAUUUCCUGAUUGUUUUAACCAUGAAACAUGAAUAUUUAAUAUAAUGCCUAGCUCAUAAGUGCUCAAUUAAUAGUAGAUGGAACUAUUAUUGUUAUUAUUAUUCAGCAGUUUAUAUUACAUUUCCAGCGUACUUUCUACCAUCCAUUUGCAUAGCAGAUUUCUUCUCACCCUUUUUUUACAACUGAGAAUGCAGAAGUAAACAUAAAUUAUACUUCUGUAGAUGUAUCACAUUUUUUUUUGUUUUUUGAGACUGAGUCUCACUCUGGCACCCAAGCUGGAGUGCAGUGGCA